UCAAAACAGCAUCCAGAAAUCGUGGCACAUUUGGACCAGCUGAUGCGCAUAGUCAAAGCAAGAAGCAGACGGAGCCAUCAACCUGGACAAAGUGUACAACCACUGGAGAAGUGAGAAAGACAGACGUGAAAAAUAAGAGCAGGACCCUCACCCAGGCCACAACUGGACCCUCACCCAGGCCACAAGUGGACCCUCAGCCAAACCACAACUGAACCCUCACCCAGGCCACAACUGGACCCUCA